UGCGGCAGCUAAUCCAGGGCGGAGCAGGGCAGGGAUGCCAGCACCAUGGCAGCCCCACUGGCGCCAGGAGCAUCGUGCUGCACCAGCGAGGCAAAAUCCUCCUACUCUAAAUAGAGAUGUAGGGAACGUGAGUUGAAUUAGCCAACUGGACAAAAAAUCAGGUUUCAGUAGUAACAAGGUUUUUCCAUUUGUACGCAACACUAUGUGUUACACAUGGACAGUUAACUUGAGGAUAAAGGUUCUAAAAUGCAAGAAAGCUCUGUGAUAAUCAUAUCAACAGUUCAACCCCGUGAUUUUACUCCAAAAUUGAUGUAUAAACAGGGACUGAUACAGAGUAACUUGCUAAAUCCAUCUUUAUCCUGAUUUGGGUUUGCCCAAUUUUCUGGCCUGACUGUCAUUUGCUAACAUUUUUUUUACCUCCUCAUUGUAUUUUACUGAAAGGUUACUUAUUUGGUAAGUCAAAACGCUUCCUAUUGCUGUUAGUUCUGAACACAUUUUUAGGCGCUAUGUGGGCAUUCUAGGGGUUUAUACAACGAAGGCAUGUUUUGUUUAUUUCACCAGUCAGUUUAAAUCCUUACUGUACAUGUGCCAAGAUGUCUAUUUCUUAUAAUUUAUGUACAAAGCUUGCUAUUUCUGUUUGGUAUCAGAAAGCUCAUAUAUCUCAAAUGGAAUAGUUUAUGAGAGGAACAAAGAAGAAAGGAUGAUGAUAUAUUAUUUUUUUGCUUUUGAAUUGUAAUUUAUAUGCUUACAAUAUUAUACCAAAGUACGUGUUACAGGGUUUAUUCAAAUCAAUAGUUUUUCAUGUAAUACUAGACUGACCUCUACAUUUGCUCAUAACAUUACAGGGUCUGUGACUGAACCUGAAAUGUGCUCAUCGCGUAAUUGAUUUGCACGGACAACUUUUGUUACAUAGGCUGCAAGACGUGUUGAGAGAGAGUAAACGUAUCUAGAACUAAAUACAUUCUCCAUGUCUGGAUUUGUUGAGCCUUUCCAAG